rnacentral:rRNA from 1 species
GAUAACCUACCUAUAAGACUGGGAUAACUUCGGGAAACCGGAGCUAAUACCGGAUAAUAUUUUGAACCGCAUGGUUCAAAAGUGAAAGACGGUCUUGCUGUCACUUAUAGAUGGAUCCGCGCUGCAUUAGCUAGUUGGUAAGGUAACGGCUUACCAAGGCAACGAUGCAUAGCCGACCUGAGAGGGUGAUCGGCCACACUGGAACUGAGACACGGUCCAGACUCCUACGGGAGGCAGCAGUAGGGAAUCUUCCGCAAUGGGCGAAAGCCUGACGGAGCAACGCCGCGUGAGUGAUGAAGGUCUUCGGAUCGUAAAACUCUGUUAUUAGGGAAGAACAUAUGUGUAAGUAACUGUGCACAUCUUGACGGUACCUUUUCAGAAAGCCACGGCUAACUACGUGCCAGCAGCCGCGGUAAUACGUAGGUGGCAAGCGUUAUCCGGAAUUAUUGGGCGUAAAGCGCGCGUAGGCGGUUUUUUAAGUCUGAUGUGAAAGCCCACGGCUCAACCGUGGAGGGUCAUUGGAAACUGGAAAACUUGAGUGCAGAAGAGGAAAGUGGAAUUCCAUGUGUAGCGGUGAAAUGCGCAGAGAUAUGGAGGAACACCAGUGGCGAAGGCGACUUUCUGGUCUGUAACUGACGCUGAUGUGCGAAAGCGUGGGGAUCUUUCAGGAUUAGAUACCCUGGUAGUCCACGCCGUAAACGAUGAGUGCUAAGUGUUAGGGGGUUUCCGCCCCUUAGUGCUGCAGCUAACGCAUUAAGCACUCCGCCUGGGGAGUACGACCGCAAGGUUGAAACUCAAAGGAAUUGACGGGGACCCGCACAAGCGGUGGAGCAUGUGGUUUAAUUCGAAGCAACGCGAAGAACCUUACCAAAUCUUGACAUCCUUUGACAACUCUAGAGAUAGAGCCUUCCCCUUCGGGGGACUUUGUGACAGGUGGUGCAUGGUUGUCGUCAGCUCGUGUCGUGAGAUGUUGGGUUAAGUCCCGCAACGAGCGCAACCCUUAAGCUUAGUUGCCAUCAUUAAGUUGGGCACUCUAAGUUGACUGCCGGUGACAAACCGGAGGAAGGUGGGGAUGACGUCAAAUCAUCAUGCCCCUUAUGAUUUGGGCUACACACGUGCUACAAUGGACAAUACAAAGGGCAGCGAAACCGUGAGGUCAAGCAAAUCCCAUAAAGUUGUUCUCAGUUCGGAUUGUAGUCUGCAACUCGACUACAUGAAGCUGGAAUCGCUAGUAAUCGUAGAUCAGCAUGCUACGGUGAAUACGUUCCCGGGUCUUGUACACACCGCCCGUCACACCACGAGAGUUUGUA